rnacentral:rRNA from 1 species
UAAUACUCCAUAGAUUAGAGACACUGGAAUGUUCUUUAGUCGAAAGUUCUGGCGCCUUAGGAUGGAUCUGCGGUCGAUUAGGUUGUUGUUGGGGUAACGGCCCAACAAGCCUGUAAUCGAUACGGGUUGUGGGAGCAAGAGCCCGGAGAUGGAAUCUGAGACACGAUUCCAGGCCCCACGGGGCGCAGCAGGCGCGAAAACUUUACAAUGCGGGCAACCGUGAUAAGGGAACCUCGAGUGCCUGUAAAUGCAGGCUGUUCAGAUGCCUAAAACACAUCUGGAGAAAGGGCCGGGCAAGACCGGUGCCAGCCGCCGCGGUAAUACCGGCGGCUCGAGUGGUGGCCACUUUUAUUGGGCUUAAAGCGUUCGUAGCUGGGUUGUUAAGUCUCUUGGGAAAUCUGGCGGCUUAACCGUCAGGCGUCUAAGGGAUACUGGCAAUCUUGGAACCGGGAGAGGUGAGGGGUACCUCGGGGGUAGGAGUGAAAUCCUGUAAUCCUCGAGGGACCACCUGUGGCGAAGGCGCCUCACCGGAACGGCUUCGACAGUGAGGGACGAAAGCUGGGGGAGCAAACCGGAUUAGAUACCCGGGUAGUCCCAGCCGUAAACUAUGCGCGUUAGGUGUAU